rnacentral:rRNA from 1 species
AUACGGGGGGGGCAAGCGUUGUCCGGAAUCAUUGGGCGUAAAGGGCGCGUAGGCGGAACAGUAAGUCAGGGGUGAAAAUUCUGAGCUUAACUCAGUACCUGCCCUUGAUACUGCUAUUCUAGAGUUCGAGAGGGGAAAGUGGAAUUCCCGGUGUAGCGGUGAAAUGCGUAGAUAUCGGGAAGAACACCAGUAGCGAAGGCGGCUUUCUGGCUCGUAACUGACGCUGAGGCGCGAAAGCGUGGGGAGCAAACAGGAUUAGAUACCCCGGUAGUCC